CUGGAGAUGAUGCAUUCCUAACACCUGAGUACCCGUGAAGGCGUUUGUAUUCAUACUGUCUGAUCCAG
rnacentral:snoRNA from 1 species